rnacentral:rRNA from 1 species
GGGCAGCAUGAUUGAAGCUUGCUUCAAUCGAUGGCGACCGGCGCACGGGUGAGUAACACGUAUCCAACCUGCCGAUAACUCGGGGAUAGCCUUUCGAAAGAAAGAUUAAUACCCGAUUGCAUAGUAUUUCCGCAUGGUUUCACUAUUAAAGAAUUUCGGUUAUCGAUGGGGAUGCGUUCCAUUAGAUAGUUGGCGGGGUAACGGCCCACCAAGUCAACGAUGGAUAGGGGUUCUGAGAGGAAGGUCCCCCACAUUGGAACUGAGACACGGUCCAAACUCCUACGGGAGGCAGCAGUGAGGAAUAUUGGUCAAUGGACGAGAGUCUGAACCAGCCAAGUAGCGUGAAGGAUGACUGCCCUAUGGGUUGUAAACUUCUUUUAUACGGGAAUAAAGUGGAGUAUGCAUACUCCUUUGUAUGUACCGUAUGAAUAAGGAUCGGCUAACUCCGUGCCAGCAGCCGCGGUAAUACGGAGGAUCCGAGCGUUAUCCGGAUUUAUUGGGUUUAAAGGGAGCGUAGGCGGGUGCUUAAGUCAGUUGUGAAAGUUUGCGGCUCAACCGUAAAAUUGCAGUUGAUACUGGGCGCCUUGAGUGCAGCAUAGGUAGGCGGAAUUCGUGGUGUAGCGGUGAAAUGCUUAGAUAUCACGAAGAACUCCGAUUGCGAAGGCAGCUUACUGGACUGUAACUGACGCUGAUGCUCGAAAGUGUGGGUAUCAAACA